GAGGGUAUAGCUCAGUGGUAGAGCAUAUGCUUAGCAUGCAUGAGGUCCUGGGUUCAAUCCCCAGAACCUCCA
rnacentral:tRNA from 1 species